rnacentral:lncRNA from 10 species
AUGGAGUCUCGCUCUGUUUCCCAGGCUGAAGUGCAAUGGCGUGAUGUCGGCUCACUGCAUCCUCCGGCUCCUGGACUCAAGCGAUUCUCCUGCCUCAGGCUCCCAAGACAGGUAUUUGAAACAUCUGGUUAACAAGUACCCAGCUUGAAGAAAGCCUGGAUCUUCACAGCACGCUCAGUUUGUAGAAGAGAAAAACCCUACUCUGGGCUCUAAUUUGCUUCAGCUCCAUUAAACACAUCCUGAGCCCUGCUGUGUGCCAGACGCUGUGCUGAAUACCUGGCACCAGAAGACCAAUCGGGCCCAGGGCUUCUCCCCAAGGAGCUUCCUGGCCAGGCGGAGACACCCCUGGAAUAGACCAUUUAGGAGCCUGAGGCCUGCAUGUAGCAUUUAGUCAGCAGUUAAGUGUGGAAGUAUAAGUGAGUAAAUGGAUGAAUACCUGAGGGUGCGAAUGAGCUACAGAAUUAAUGACUGAAUGAAUUAAUGAAGUUGACAAAUGCUAUUACAGAAGUGAGCACAGACUAUGAUAGCCCAGCAGAGAGGCAUUUAGAACCUUAGCUGUGGCCACAGGUGAUGGUGCAGGAGGAAAAGCCAAUAUCUGUGCAGCAUUUUCCAUUUCUUUGCAAGUUCACCUGCCUCUAUCAUCUGAGACUCACCCUGAGGGUGUUCUUUGGUUGCCUGAGAGUCUGCUCAACCUGAAAGGGACAGGUGGCCAGAAGUGCUGGGGAGUUGACAUCCUGAGCAAGCAGUUCUUGGCCAAUGACGGGGAGUAGUUGGUGUAUAAAUACCCCAGCUUCCUUGCUCCACGGUGGGAUAAUCCUAAAGUGACUGUUCUGUGCCGGCUCCCAGUGUUCCCCAAUGGAACGGAGCUGCAGUCACCCACAGUGAUUAUUUGCUAGAUAACCCACACCUUAUUAUCGACCCACCAAUAUCUCCUGGAAUCAUCCUGAGAUCACCUCCCAAAUAAAGCACUCAAAUCUUUGUCUCAGAAUCUAUUUCUAGGAGAACCCAAACUACAAGAGUGAUGAUUAUGAAAACAUUUAUGGUCAUAGCUAAUAUUUGCUGAGUGCUUACUACAUGCCAGCCACUGCCUGCUACGUGCUCUAAGGCACUUCUCCCACUUAACACUCAUGAAAUCUCUGAGAUGCAGACAUUAUGAUCAUCAUCCCAUUUUACAGAUGGGACUGAGGCUCAGAAGUGAAGUCAUCUAUGUAAAGUCAUGUAAUUCUUUAUCGUCACAGCCAGAAUAUGAGCCCAACUCUCUUUAACUCCAGAGUUUGAGGAUAUAACCAUUCUGCCAUGCUGUCUCCUGAUUUUCUUUUCUUUCUUUCUUUCUUUCUUUUUUUUUUUUUUUCUUUGAGAUGGAGUUUUGUUCUUGUUGCCCAGGCUGUAGUGCAAUGGUACCAUCUCGGCUCACUGCAACCUCCGCCUCUCGUAUUCAAAUGAUUCUCCUGCCUCAGCCUCCCUAGUAGCUAGGAUUACAGGCACCUGCCACCAUGCCCAGCUAAUUUUUUUGUUUUUUGUAUUUUUAGUAGAGACAGGGUUUCACUAUGUUAGCCAGGCUGGUCUCGAACUCCUGACCUCAGUUGAUCUACCCACCUCAGCCCCCAAAAGUGCUGGGAUUACAGGCCUGAGCCACCGCGCCCGGCUCUGUCUCCUGAUUUUCAUCUUCCAUUGUCUGUAGGGAGGAGAGAUGAGGACGAGAGGGAGAAAGGAUGCCUGGGCUUGCUUUCUCAGUGGGGAAGAGUUCAAUCUCAGUUCAGGUUUUCUUUUAACAAAAUUUUUAUGUUAAUAAAAUUAAUAAAGUUGUUUUAUU